rnacentral:piRNA from 8 species
CGCCUGCCACGCGGGAGGCCCGGGU